UACGUAGGGUGCAAGCGUUAAUCGGAAUUACUGGGCGUAAAGCGUGCGCAGGCGGUUUUGUAAGUCUGAUGUGAAAUCCCCCGGGCUCAACCUGGGAAUUGCAUUGGAGACUGCAAGGCUAGAAUCUGGCAGAGGGGGGGUAGAAUUCCAGGUGUAGCGGUGAAAUGCGUAGAUAUCUGGAGGAAUACCGGUGGCGAAGGCGGCAUCCUGGACCGGCAUUGACGCUGAGGAGCGAAAGCCAGGGGAGCAAACGGG
rnacentral:rRNA from 1 species